AUUGAACGCUGGCGGCAGGCCUAACACAUGCAAGUCGAGCGGAUGAAGGGAGCUUGUUCCUGGAUUCAGCGGCGCGCGGGUGAGUAAUGCCUAGGAAUCUGCCUGGUAGUGGGGGAUAACGUCCGGAAACGGGCGCUAAUACCGCAUACGUCCUGCGGGAGCAAGUGGGGGAUCUUCGGACCUCACGCUAUCAGAUGAGCCUAGGUCGGAUUAGCUAGUUGGUGGGGUAAAGGCUUACCAAGGGGACGAUCCGUAACUGGUCUGAGUGGAUGAUCAGUCACCAGAGAACUGGGACACGGUCCAGGGUCCUACGGGAGGCAGCAGUGGGGAAUAUUGGGCAGUGGGCGAGAGCCUGAUACAGCCAUGCCGCGUGUGAGAAGGAGGUCUUGGGAUUGUAAAGCACGUUAUGUUGGGGUGAAGGGCAGUAGGUUAAUACCUUGCUGUUUUGACGGUACCAGGAGAAGAAGCACCGGCUAACUUCGUG
rnacentral:rRNA from 1 species